GAAUGCACUGUAAACGCCUAGCAAGGGUAUAGAUGGGAGCCCUCUAGAUCUAGUGAGGGCAAACUCUCUGAGUCAUCUGAUCUCUGGGCUGGCUGCACUGCGGUGAUUUAAAAUGUGAAAUUCUUUGACACUCCUUUCAAAGGAUGAAGCCUGAUUCCUCUCCCCUGGAAUGUGGGCUGGACCUAGUGACAUGCUUCUAAGAGCUACAACAACACAGAAAUGAUGGUGUGUGACACGGGAGAGUAGGUGAUUCAUGGGUAUUACAGCUUCCUGCUUGCUCUCUCUGUCUCUGAGCCCUCCCUCUGCAGGAAGCCCGUGCCGUGUCCUGAGGACGGGUGAGCAGCCCAGUGGAGAGAUCUACCCGGUGAGGAACUGAAACCUCCCUGCAGUCAUGUGAGGGAGCCACCAUAGAGGCAGACCCUCCAGCCUGAGUCAAGCCUUCAGAUGACUGCAGAUGACAUCUUGACCACAACCUCAGAAUCGAUUCUGAGCCAGAACCACUCAGCUAAGCCACUCCCACAUUCCUGACUGUCAGAAACUGAGUGACAUAAUGACUCUGUGGUUUUAGGCUGCUAUAUCUGGGAGCAAUUUGUUCAACAGGAGUGGCACCUACCUGAAGUAUUAAUAGUUGUUGAGAGUCACCUUUCUCACCCCUUCACUUGAUGGCGCUGUUGUGCAACUGCAAACUCCUGUGGAGACGACUUGUCUCAUUGUACACCAGACAAGAGAUAAAAAGCAAGAUUUGAGAGAGGUUCAUGGAUCAACUGGCACCAUCUGCUUAGUUCUACAAAGUGGAGUUUCUGGGUAUCAUUCUCCAUUUCUGUACACAAAGUGCUGUGAAGCUCAAGAAGAAACAGUUCUGCGCAGGAUUCACCAUAUAAAAAUGCUAACAUCUGACAAACUGGACCACUCAAAGAGAAGACACCAGAGCUGGGUCGGGCACAGUGGCUCACGUCUGUAAUCCCAGCACUUUGGGAGGCCAAGGCGGGCAGAUCAUGAGGUCAGGAGAUCGAGACCAUCCUGGCC